UUCUGACGUUGCAAAACAAGGAGUAAUGUCUGCUCAAGUGAAAAGUUAGAGACUUUUAUCACUUUUUAGCAAACUUACGCUGGACAAAAGCCACCACAAUUGUUGUACUGGUACCCGACACAGCAUUUGUGUCUAUUUUCAUGUAAAGGUAAUAUUGAUGUCUAAGAUUAAAGGUAACGUUAAGUGGUUUAAUGAGUCCAAAGGAUUCGGUUUCAUUACUCCUGAAGAUGGUAGCAAAGACGUGUUCGUACACUUCUCUGCAAUCCAGACCAACGGCUUCAAAACUCUGGCUGAAGGUCAGCGUGUAGAGUUCGAAAUCACUAACGGUGCCAAAGGUCCUUCUGCUGCAAACGUAACUGCUCUGUAAGCAUUACGAUAGCUGAAUUCCAAAACCCGCUCCCUGAGCGGGUUUUUUUA
rnacentral:other from 1 species